rnacentral:rRNA from 1 species
UUGGAGGGCAAGUCUGGUGCCAGCAGCCGCGGUAAUUCCAGCUCCAAUAGCGUAUAUUAAAGUUGUUGCAGUUAAAAAGCUCGUAGUUGAAUUUCGGGGUUCUUCCGUUGGUCAGGCUAACAAGUCUGUACUAGCGUGUAGAAUCUCUACCUUCUGGGGAACCAUCAUGUUAUUAAUUUAGCGUGGUGGGAAACCAGGACCUUUACCUUGAAAAAAUUAGAGUGUUCAAAGCAGGCUUACGUCUGAAUACAUUAGCAUGGAAUAAUAAAAUAGGACGGUGGUCCUGUUUUGUUGGUUUCUGAAUCACCGUAAUGAUUAAUAGGGAUAGUUGGGGGCAUUAGUAUUCAAUUGUCAGAGGUGAAAUUCUUGGAUUUAUUGAAGACUAACUUCUGCGAAAGCAUUUGCCAAGGAUGUUUUCAUUAAUCAAGAACGAAAGUUAGGGGAUCGAAGACGAUCAGAUACCGUCGUAGUCUUAACCAUAAACUAUGCUGACUAGGGAUCGGACGAUGUUAAAUUUUAUUGACUCGUUCGGCGCCUUACGGGAAAC